CACGUAGGGCGCAAGCGUUGUCCGGAAUUAUUGGGCGUAAAGAGCUCGUAGGUGGUCUGUUACGUCUGCUGUGAAAACCCGGGGCUUAACCCUGGGCUUGCAGUGGAUACGGGCAGACUAGAGGCAGGUAGGGGAGACUGGAAUUCCUGGUGUAGCGGUGAAAUGCGCAGAUAUCAGGAGGAACACCGAUGGCGAAGGCAGGUCUCUGGGCCACUACUGACGCUGAGAAGCGAAAGCAUGGGGAGCGAACAGG
rnacentral:rRNA from 1 species